UAAUUCGAAGCAACGCGCAGAACCUUACCAGCCCUUGACAUUUGGUGCACUUUCCAGAGAUGGAUUUUUCCCUUCGGGGACGCCAGGACAGGUGCUGCAUGGCUGUCGUCAGCUCGUGUCGUGAGAUGUUGGGUUAAGUCCCGCAACGAGCGCAACCCUCGCCCUUAGUUGCCAGCAUUGAGUUGGGCACUCUAGGGGGACUGCCGGUGAUAAGCCGAGAGGAAGGUGGGGAUGACGUCAAGUCCUCAUGGNCCUUACGGGCUGGGCUACACACGUGCUACAAUGGCGGUGACAGUGGGC
rnacentral:rRNA from 1 species